rnacentral:rRNA from 1 species
AGAGUUUGAUCCUGGCUCAGGAUGAACGCUAGCUACAGGCUUAACACAUGCAAGUCGUGGGGCAGCGGAUGCUUAGCUUGCUAAGUAUGCCGGCGACCGGCGCACGGGUGAGUAACGCGUACCGAACCUGCCCAUCACACAGGGAUAGGCUUGCGAAAGCAAGAUUAAUACCUGAUGGUCUCAGUUGUAUGCAUGUAUGAUUGAGUAAAGCCUUCGGGCGGUGAUGGAUGGCGGUGCGUCCCAUUAGGAAGUUGGCGGGGUAACGGCCCACCAAUCCUUCGAUGGGUAGGGGUUCUGAGAGGAAGGUCCCCCACAUUGGAACUGAGAUACGGUCCAAACUCCUACGGGAGGCAGCAGUGAGGAAUAUUGGUCAAUGGGCGAGAGCCUGAACCAGCCAAGUAGCGUGCAGGAUGACGGCCCUAUGGGUUGUAAACUGCUUUUGUAUGGGGAUAAAGUCAAUCACGUGUGAUUGUUUGCAGGUACCAUACGAAUAAGGACCGGCUAAUUCCGUGCCAGCAGCCGCGGUAAUACGGAAGGUCCGGGCGUUAUCCGGAAUUAUUGGGUUUAAAGGGAGCGCAGGCGGGAGUAUAAGUCAGCUGUUAAAUAUCAGGGCCCAACUCUGUUAUGCAGUUGAAACUAUAUUUCUUGAGUACGCACAGGGAUGGCGGAAUUCAGGGUGUAGCGGUGAAAUGCUUAGAUAUCCUGAAGAACUCCGAUCGCGAAGGCAGCCAUCCGGAGCGUAACUGACGCUGAGGCUCGAAGGUGCGGGUAUCGAACAGGAUUAGAUACCCUGGUAGUCCGCACGGUAAACGAUGAAUACUCGCAGUUCGGUCUUUAUGAUUGAGUUGUCCAGCGAAAGCGUUAAGUAUUCCACCUGGGGAGUACGCCGGCAACGGUGAAACUCAAAGGAAUUGACGGGGGCCC